rnacentral:ncRNA from 1 species
AUAAUUAAAGCGCCCGGGCUAAUCUUUGAACGGAUAUGGAAGGUUAGUUGACGAGGAGGAGGUUUAUCGAAGCAUCGGCGGGUACCUCCCGGUUGAAAAGCACAACCGUAAUCAUGUCUUUAAAUCAUUAGGGUAACCUAAUGGACAAAGAGAGAUGAA